CUACGGGCUGCAGCAGUCAAGAAUCUUCCGCAAUGGCCGAAAGGCUGACGGAGCGACGCCGCGUGCAGGAAGACGCCCUUCGGGGUGUAAACUGCUUUUAUCUGGGAGGAAUUCGUGACGUUACCAGAUGAAUAAGGGGCUGCUAACCUCGUGCCAGCAGCAGCGGUAAGACGAGGGCCCCAAGCGUUAUCCGGAUUUACUGGGUGUAAAGCGUCCCCAGGCGGUUUAGUAAGUUUUCGGUCAAAUCUUCUGGCUUAACCAGAAGGCUGCCGAAAAAACUGCUACAACUAGAGACCGGGAGAGGCAAGCGGAAUGGCCGGUGUAGUAGUAAAAUGCGUUGAUAUCGGCUAGAACACCAAUAGCGAAGGCAGCUUGCUAGAACGGUUCUGACGCUCAUAGGACGAAAGCGUGGGUAGCGAAUAGGAUUAGAUACCCCUGUAGUC
rnacentral:rRNA from 1 species